UUUCAAGUUGGCAAGAAACUACUGGCGAUUUCCCAGAAGCAAGCGGCAACUCCAGAUUUUACAGGACACCAGAUGGCAGACUUGCUCUUUAAUAAGCCCCGAGAAAGAUUUUACUGUGCUUGGAAAUUUACUCAGAAACUUUCAAGAUCCUUCAUAAUGUUGCAGUCAUCACGCAAGAAUCAUUGGAUAAAUGAGUAAGUUUUAUGCCAGCCUCUCCCAUCUCCAUCAUCUGAUACUAAUGCAAGUGUGAAUAAAUUGAUUUAAAAAGCA
rnacentral:lncRNA from 1 species